CAGCUCUCAAAGAUUCUUCCUCCCUCCUGCUCCUCCUCUCCCAGUUCCUGCCCAGGCUGCCUCUAUCAUACAAGCUGUAACUUCUGCCAGUCCUAUCAGCCGGCGAACAACAGAGCUGCAGCUCUGCCAGGGACAGGGAUUUCUCAAGCUCCUGUUUGGCACAGCACAGGCAAGUAAGGGGCACGUCUAACUGCCCACGCUCAGCCAAACCGAAGGACAAAGGCGGCGAGACUCUCUCUGGACCUUGGGGACAAACACAGCUCUCCCAGGCGAAGAUGCAAGCGUUCCCAUUGCAGUGUAAUUAGGAACAGCACAGAAACUCAGACAUGUGCCCCUUCUGUGUUGGCAACAGAUAUGACAGAACUACAUGAGGUGCAAAACGCAGGCUUUGUGUGCGCCUGUGUGUGUGUACAUGUGCGUGCGUGCACACGCGGCGCUAUGUGCUGCCGCCCAAGUUUCAGACUAUUUCUAAAUUGAAGUUGAUGAGAUGGGAUAUUGUGCCUUUUUAAAAAAUGUAAC